CAUAGGUUAAUGAGGCGAACCGGGGGAACUGAAACAUCUAAGUACCCCGAGGAAAAGAAAUCAACCGAGAUUCCCCCAGUAGCGGCGAGCGAACGGGGAGGAGCCCAGAGCCUGAAUCAGUGUGUGUGUUAGUGGAAGCGUCUGGAAAGGCGCGCGAUACAGGGUGACAGCCCCGUACACAAAAAUGCACAUGCUGUGAGCUCGAUGAGUAGGGCGGGACACGUGGUAUCCUGUCUGAAUAUGGGGGGACCAUCCUCCAAGGCUAAAUACUCCUGACUGACCGAUAGUGAACCAGUACCGUGAGGGAAAGGCGAAAAGAACCCCGGCGAGGGGAGUGAAAAAGAACCUGAAACCGUGUACGUACAAGCAGUGGGAGCACAGAGCAAUCUGUGU
rnacentral:rRNA from 1 species